rnacentral:misc_RNA from 1 species
CAAAAAAAAAACGAGGAUGAAUAAAGAUGCUGUAAAUGGUGAUCCUUAGAUAUUUACUUUCUCUUUCGACCACGACCACGACCCCUUCUGGCUGGAACAUCUUUUGAAGUGCCAACAUCAUCCUUCUCCACUUCUUCCCCACUUAUUUCCUCAUCAAAGGUCUCAGUUCUGUCCGUAGAUUGUGCGUCCUCUUCUACUGGCUCUUCAACAGAGGUUGCCUGUUUCGAGAGCUUAUCGCGAAGUUCUCUGAGUUUUUUCUUCUUUGCGUUCAGAACUCCAAG